rnacentral:tRNA from 1 species
GCCUUCAUAGCUCAAUCGGUAGAGCGUCCGGCUCUUAAAUGUCUAGAGCACAACCGGAAGGUUAUGGGUUCGAGUCCCAUUGUCGGCU